rnacentral:lncRNA from 1 species
GUAAGGUGUUAGUGUUAAAUUAUUAAAAUAAGAAGUUUAUAUUCAAUAUAAUUCACCUACGUGCCUUAAAUAUUUGGGACUAUUCCAUGUUUUCGCUACAAAAGUGAUGUAUUAUAUGAACAAUAAAUUUAAAUAACAUAGUAAAUCUUUAUUUCUGGCAUAUUGUACCAGGCCUCUACUCUAAUAUUUAUAUAUUCCAAAUGAAUGAAUGAAAUGAAUAGAAAAAAUAGUUUAUGCCAUUCAUUUAAUUGAUACAUAUAUAUUUAUCUUUACUUCAUAAAAUUAGUACUUAAAAUAAGAUUGAUCAAAUAUAUUAAUACGAACAUAAACCAUUUUCUUCACCCGUUGAGAAACUACGAUCGUUAGGGUGAAAUGUUAGGGGAGUUAAUUGGAUUAAAGUGUCCUUUUAAACGCGCAAACUCUUCAAAUACUAAAUGAAAGAAUCAGGAAUUGAAGUUUCUUCGCAGUGAAUGUGCACAUCCAAAAUCCCUUUCUUCGGCUCCACCCCGUGUAUUUUACGCGGUUCUUUGAUGCCAUAUUGGCUUUUAUUCGAGAAGAGUCGCUGGCUGUAAAUAAAUAUGAAAUAAAACACGUUGGUAACGGCCAUUUUGCGGCGGGAUUUUAAAUGGUGAGUAUCGGAUUAGUUUUGAGUUAUCCUUUACUUUCUUGCUGCCGCGAGGACAAUACAUUCUGUACCUCGUCCAAUGUGCUAUUACAGUAUUACAUGUGGCGGUAUCCCGUAAGGUGACAAAUUCGUUAUCGUUUGCGACGUGACGAUUAAAUUGAAUAUAAUUCUCAUAUUUGUUGUAACAAAUCGUAGAAAACGUAAGAGACACACUGAUUUUUCUCGUGAUCGGUAUUUCAGAAUGUGAGAUACAAAUAAAUAAAUAAAUCCCAUAAUAAAUCCCGUAUAGUGUCAGGUUUAUUCUGUAUUUAGUCAAUGAUUAAGUCAAUGACUCGACACAGAUAAAAUUAAAAUUACCGUCCCAUUGAUGCGCUUAUGUAACGAAGCAGUACGUCAUUCACACGGUUCAAUGUAUAUUAUCGGAUGACAGUUAAAGACUAAAAUGUAAAAAAAUAAGAUUAAAAAUUAUUCAAUGUUCCCUAGAAAUCAGCAAACUUGUUCACGCGGACGUAUGCAAGUAUAAGAUCCUCUAACCGUUAAUGCAAUGAUGCAUGUCCAUCAAUUUAUUUUAUAUAAAAGAAAAGGAGUAGAAGAUCGUGAAAUUCCGUGCUAUAAAUGAUCCUUUGAUACUUUAUAAAAAAAGUUGUAGACUUCAAAACAGUCUACUCACAACAAUGUAUAAAAGAAUAUCAAAGUUCGCUCUAUGGAAUUUGCGAGUGCAGAUGAUUAACGUUUCCUUAAUUAAUCCAACAAAUGAUCUGCAUAAUUGAAGAAGAAUAAUACAGAAAACAUAAAGUGCAUGAUGCAUGCAGUAUUUCUUUCCUUCAGUUUCGUAAUCAAUUAGUUGUUGCUGACGAAAGUGUUGGAUGUACUAUUAAAGUAUAAAUAUAAUCUCGUAAACAAGAGAUAAUUAAUUUUUCUGUUCUCUCGAAAAUAUUUUCUUUUUUACGUCAUAUACAAAAUAAAAAAUAUCUUCGAAGCGGCUCGAUGUAAAUUUAAAGCAGUUAUACAAUUUGAUAUCUCCAUAUCAUAUGACUUCUUAUUUUUGUUAUUUUAAGUUUUCUAUCUAGCGAUAGAUUAAUUAUCUUAAUAAUUAUCGAUUAAUAAU